rnacentral:rRNA from 1 species
UGGGGAAUAUUGGACAAUGGGCGCAAGCCUGAUCCAGCCAUGCCGCGUGUGUGAAGAAGGCCUUUUGGUUGUAAAGCACUUUAAGCGAGGAGGAGGCUACUUGGAUUAAUACUCUAGGAUAGUGGACGUUACUCGCAGAAUAAGCACCGGCUAACUCUGUGCCACCAGCCGCGGUAAUACAGAGGGUGCGAGCGUUAAUCGGAUUUACCGGGCGUAAAGCGUGGGUAGGCUGCUUCUUAAGUCGGAUGUGAAAUCCCUGAGCUUAACUUAGGAAUUGCAUUCGAUACUGGGAUGCUGGAGUAUGGGAGAGGAUGGUAGAAUGCCAGGUGUAGCGGUGAAAUGCGUAGAGAUCUGGAGGAAUACCGAUGGCGAAGGCAGCCAUCUGGCCUAAUACUGACGCUGAGGUACGAAAGCAUGGGGAGCGAACAGG